rnacentral:rRNA from 1 species
GAUGAACGCUGGCGGCGUGCUUAACACAUGCAAGCCGAACGGUGAAGCCAAGCUUGCUUGGUGGAUCAAUGGCGAACGGGUGAGUAACACGUGAGCAACCUGCCCUGGACUCUGGGAUAAGCGCUGGAAACGGCGUCUAAUACUGGAUAUGAGCUUCUACCGCAUGGUGGGGGGUGGAAAGAUUUUUUGGUCUGGGAUGGGCUCGCGGCCUAUCAGCUUGUUGGUGAGGUAAUGGCUCACCAAGGCGUCGACGGGUAGCCGGCCUGAGAGGGUGACCGGCCACACUGGGACUGAGACACGGCCCAGACUCCUACGGGAGGCAGCAGUGGGGAAUAUUGCACAAUGGGCGGAAGCCUGAUGCAGCAACGCCGCGUGAGGGAUGACGGCCUUCGGGUUGUAAACCUCUUUUAGCAGGAAGAAGCGAAAGUGACGGUACCUGCAGAAAAAGCGCCGGCUAACUACGUGCCAGCCGCCGCGGUAA